rnacentral:lncRNA from 1 species
GGCAAAGCUGUGUCAGAAAAUGAUUUGUUGUUAAUUGCCUCUUUCCUUUCUUAGGGAAGCUCUUUGUCUUAUGGGGGUAUUGUUGGCUUUUAAUUUUUAACCUCAGCAGUGGCAGCAAUAGACUUCAAAUGGAGUGGGGAAAGCAGCCUGCUCAUCAAGAAGGGUAAGUAGUUCAUUGUUUUUUCAUUAAGGCCUAAAAUUACUGAUCAGAGCAGGUGCGAUAUUAUCAUUUAAUUUGUCUCUAUUCAAUUUUUUAGGCUGCAAGGGCUCUCCUGAGCCUCAGGGGGCACUAGCAAAAACCUGCUCCAGGCACCAAUCAUCUCAAUGACUUGCAAAAUCCAAUGGAACUAGCAAGCAACUGACCUACCAUAACUGAAGCAUUCCCCACAAUGAGCUCACUGGGGAGACUUCCACCAGGAAGUGACUCUUUGUACUGUGAUGCCAUCUAAGUAUGGACUCCUUUGCAGGAAGGAACUGUCAAAGCAGCAAAAUCAAGCUGUUUCUCUCUGCCCAGGGAAGUUUAUAGAUAGAAACAAGAAGCAUUUCUUCUCAGCUGACAAUUGCUGGGCCAGCUUCUCUGAACAAAUCUUCCGUUUUCUAGAAGACUGCAACCACUGAGAAACUUGAGGAAUGACCGAGGACAGGGGCAACUUUUUAAAGGUCAAGAAAACCUUCACCUUACACACACAUCGCCAGUAAAUUAUACUCAAUGUAAUCAUUAGAUGUUUCACUCUUCUUGCUUCAGAAUAAACAAAGCAGGAGCUUCUGCCUGUCCUGUAUG